rnacentral:rRNA from 1 species
GAUGAACGCUGGCGGCGUGCCUAAUACAUGCAAGUCGAGCGAACAGACGAGGAGCUUGCUCCUUCGACGUUAGCGGCGGACGGGUGAGUAACACGUAGGUAACCUACCUAUAAGACUGGGAUAACUUCGGGAAACCGGAGCUAAUACCGGAUAAUAUUUCGAACCGCAUGGUUCGAUAGGGAAAGAUGGCUUUGCUAUCACUUAUAGAUGGACCUGCGCCGUAUUAGCUAGUUGGUAAGGUAACGGCUUACCAAGGCAACGAUACGUAGCCGACCUGAGAGGGUGAUCGGCCACACUGGAACUGAGACACGGUCCAGACUCCUACGGGAGGCAGCAGUAGGGAAUCUUCCGCAAUGGGCGAAAGCCUGACGGAGCAACGCCGCGUGAGUGAUGAAGGUCUUCGGAUCGUAAAACUCUGUUAUUAGGGAAGAACAAACGUGUAAGUAACUGUGCACGUCUUGACGGUACCUAAUCAGAAAGCCACGGCUAACUACGUG